rnacentral:rRNA from 1 species
AUUGAACGCUGGCGGCAGGCCUAACACAUGCAAGUCGAACGAGGGGCGGACGGGUGAGUAAUGUCUGGGAAACUGCCCGAUGGAGGGGGAUAACUACUGGAAACGGUAGCUAAUAGCGCAUACUAUCGUAUGAGCCCAGAUGGGAUUAGCGAGUAGGUGGGGUAACGGCUCACCUAGGCGACGAUCCCUAGCUGGUCUGAGAGGAUGACCAGCCACACUGGAACUGAGACACGGUCCAGACUCCUACGGGAGGCAGCAGUGGGGAAUAUUGCACAAUGGGCGCAAGCCUGAUGCAGCCAUGCCGCGUGUAUGAAGAAGGCCUUCGGGUUGUAAAGUACUUUCAGCGGGGAGGCGUUACUCGCAGAAGAAGCACCGGCUAACUCCGUGCCAGCAGCCGCGGUAAUUC